GGGAGCUUGCUCCCGGGUGACGAGCGGCGGACGGGUGAGUAAUGUCUGGGAAACUGCCUGAUGGAGGGGGAUAACUACUGGAAACGGUAGCUAAUACCGCAUAACGUCUUCGGACCAAAGUGGGGGACCUUCGGGCCUCAUGCCAUCAGAUGUGCCCAGAUGGGAUUAGCUAGUAGGUGGGGUAAAGGCUCACCUAGGCGACAAUCCCUAGCUGGUCUGAGAGGAUGACCAGCCACACUGGAACUGAGACACGGUCCAGACUCCUACGGGAGGCAGCAGUGGGGAAUAUUGCACAAUGGGCGCAAGCCUGAUGCAGCCAUGCCGCGUGUAUGAAGAAGGCCUUCGGGUUGUAAAGUACUUUCAGCGAGGAGGAAGGUGUUGUGGUUAAUAACCGCAGCAAUUGACGUUACUCGCAGAAGAAGCACCGGCUAACUCCGUGCCAGCAGCCGCGGUAAUACGGAGGGUGCAAGCGUUAAUCGGAAUUACUGGGCGUAAAGCGCACGCAGGCGGUUUGUUAAGUCAGAUGUGAAAUCCCCGGGCUCAACCUGGGAACUGCAUUUGAAACUGGCAAGCUUGAGUCUCGUAGAGGGGGGUAGAAUUCCAGGUGUAGCGGUGAAAUGCGUAGAGAUCUGGAGGAAUACCGGUGGCGAAGGCGGCCCCCCUGGACGAA
rnacentral:rRNA from 1 species